UACGAAGGGGGCUAGCGUUGCUCGGAAUCACUGGGCGUAAAGGGUGCGUAGGCGGGUCUUUAAGUCAGGGGUGAAAUCCUGGAGCUCAACUCCAGAACUGCCUUUGAUACUGAGGAUCUUGAGGCCGGGAGAGGUGAGUGGAACUGCGAGUGUAGAGGUGAAAUUCGUAGAUAUUCGCAAGAACACCAGUGGCGAAGGCGGCUCACUGGCCCGGUACUGACGCUGAGGUGCGAAAGCGUGGGGAGCAAACAGG
rnacentral:rRNA from 1 species